rnacentral:lncRNA from 1 species
AGCGUAUGCGGUGCUGCGGCACUGCCAACACGCCAGGUCCGAGCGCUGCCAGCGGCUCGUCCCAGCAGAAGGCGCAGAAUGGCUCUUCCUGCACUCCCAGGAAGCGGUCGGUGUAGCCCACCGAAAAGUCAGCAGGGUCCAGGCGCGGGUCCCAGCGGAUGCGUCGGAUGACGUCAGCAGCAGUACGCAGAGCCGGCUUCUUGGACCCAGCCUCCGGUUGCGUAACCACCGGGGACGGCGCCGGGGCCCCGGGAUGUGGCUGACGGCAGCGCGCACCGAAGCGACAGCGGCCCUCUAGGAAGAAGCGGCAGACCGCGGGGGCCUCAGAGGAAUCGGCCGAGGCCUCCAUGGGCCUUCACGCACUAAGCGGUCUCUGUCUGCAGCGUUGAUCUCCAACUGUGACGCCAGGAACCCCUCCCGCCUCAGGUGGAAGGAGGCCAAAGGACCAGGCAGGGCGUCAGAAUGUAACACGGGCUCUGGAGCUCUAAUUUCAAGUCCAGUUUAUUUACGCGUACCGGGUUUGUAAGCCACUGGGAACCCCCUCUUGCCCCGCCUGAAAUGAUUUACAUAUGUCCAGCCCCUCAGGGAGUCUUAAAGAGCCUGGCCCCGCCCAACCAGCCAAUUUAUGUGUGCGUCAAGCUUCUCUCUGGACAUCCAGGGAGUCACGUCUUAUUCCAUACAACUUCUCCCUUUGGGGACUUUAGCGAGACAGUUUAGCAAAUACUUGACAAGUGCCCCACCGCUGUCAGGGCCCCAAGAAAGGCUUCUCCGCAUCCGAUUUACAUAUACUCCGCAGCCUGGGUGGGGGUAGGGCUUAGACAACCCCUCCGGCCGCCUCCAGAUACUUUGCAUCUGCUCAGCCUCUCGAGACCUCUAGGGAGCCUGGCAGGGCAGCAACUGAUUUACCUGAACACCGCAGCUUCGUUGGGAGGAGAGGAGUGGGACUCAGCGGUCUUGGCCCCGCCCCCAACCGUCUUUAAAGUUUGUAGCCAGCUCCCAUGCAAUUGAUUAUCUUACAUGCCACACCUCAUAACGAAUAAAGUGACUCCUGGUUCUGCCUCUGUCAA